rnacentral:rRNA from 1 species
CCUACGGGAGGCAGCAGUGGGGAAGUAUUGCGCAAUGGGCGAAAGCCUGACGCAGCGACGCAGCGUGAGGGAUGAAGGCCUUCGGGUUGUAAACCUCUUUCAGCGGGGACGAAGCGAAAGUGACGGUACCCGCAGAAGAAGCACCGGCUAACUACGUGCCAGCAGCCGCGGUAAUACGUAGGGUGCAAGCAUUGUCCGGAUUUAUUGGGCGUAAAGAGCUCGUAGGCGGCUUGUCACGUCGGGUGUGAAAACUUGGGGCUCAACCCCAAGCCUGCAACUCGAUACGGGCUAGCUAGAGUGUUGCAGGGGAGACUGGAAUUCCUGGUGUAGCGGUGAAAUGCGCAGAUAUCAGGAGGAACACCGGUGGCGAAGGCGGGUCUCUGGGCAACUACUGACGCUGAGGAGCGAAAGCGUAGGGGAGCGAACAGGAUUAGAUACCCUGGUAGUCCACGCCGUAAACGGUGGGCGCUAGGUGUGGGGAACCUUCCACGUUCUCUGUGCCGCNGCUACGACAUAAGUACGCCCGCCCGUCGGGAGGUACGGCCGCGAAGACGUAAACGUUAAAGUAAGUAAGUAGUAGUUGAGUAGAGCGACGACGACGACGACGGAGGAGGAG